UCUCCGUAGGUGAACCUGCGGCGGGAUCAUUCCUGAGUGAGGGCUUCGGUCCUACCUCCAACCCUUUGUGAACCAAACUUGUUGCUUCGGGGGCGACCCUGCCUCUUCGGCGGUGCGGCGCCCCCGGAGGCAAUUAAACACUGCAUCAUUGCGUCGGAGUUAAAGUAAAUUAAACAAAACUUUCAACAACGGAUCUCUUGGUUCCAGCAUCGAUGAAGAACGCAGC
rnacentral:misc_RNA from 1 species